rnacentral:tRNA from 1 species
CGGGGUGUAGCUCAGUCUGCGCAGAGCAUCGCGUCUGGAGCGCGAGGGCCGUAGGUUCGAAUCCUACCGCCCCGACCA